CCUACGGGCGGCAGCAGUGAGGAAUAUUGGUCAAUGGGCUCACGCCUGAACCAGCCAAGUCGCGUGAGGGAGGACGGCCCUAUGGGUUGUAAACCUCUUUUGCCGGGGAGCAACUGGCGCUACGUGUAGCGCUAUCGAGAGUACCCUACGAAAAAGCAUCGGCUAACUCCGUGCCAGCAGCCGCGGUAAUACGGAGGAUGCGAGCGUUAUCCGGAUUUAUUGGGUUUAAAGGGUGCGUAGGCGGAUUGCGAAGUCAGCGGUCAAAUGGCGGGGCUCAACCCCGUUCCGCCGUUGACACUGGCGUUCUUGAGUGGGAGAGAAGUAUGCGGAAUGCGUGGUGUAGCGGUGAAAUGCAUAGAUAUCACGCAGAACCCCGAUUGCGAAGGCAGCAUGCCGGCGCCCAACUGACGCUGAAGCACGAAAGCGUGGGUAUCGAACAGGAUUAGAUACCCCAGUAGUC
rnacentral:rRNA from 1 species